rnacentral:lncRNA from 1 species
GAUGAAAGAGAUUUGAAGCUUGAAAGACAAAAGAAGAAAAUUAACAAAUUGAAGAAUGAGGUUAUCCACACAAAAGGAUGGUUGAAAAUGUACAUUAUGGUCGGGAUGUUAAGCUUAAGGUUGAACCUUGCAUUUGUAACAAUGUAUUUUAAUUAGGAUUAAGGUAAUUAGUAUUUUGUUUUCACAAUAAAUGUAAUCUUCUGUUUAUUUAAUGAAGAAUGUUAGUGUCUGUUUUAA